GGGGUAUAGCUUAGUUGCUAGAGUACAUGCCUAGCGUGCAUGGAGUCCUGGGUUUGAUCCCCAGCACUGCCU
rnacentral:tRNA from 1 species